AUUGAACGCUGGCGGCAGGCCUAACACAUGCAAGUCGAACGAGUGGCGGACGGGUGAGUAAUGUCUGGGAAACUGCCUGAUGGAGGGGGAUAACUACUGGAAAUGGUAGCUAAUACCGCAUACCAUCGGAUGUGCCCAGAUGGGACUAGCUAGUAGGUGGGGUAAAGGCUCACCUAGGCGACCAUCCCUAGCUGGUCUGAGAUGAUGACCAGCAACACAGGAGCUGAGACACGGUCCAGACUCCUACGGGCGGAAGCAGUGGGAAAUAUUGCACAAUGGGCGCAAGCCUGAUGCAGCCAUGCCGCAUGAAUGAAGAAGGCGUUCGGGUUGUAAAGUACUUUAAGCGGGGAGGCGUUACCCACAGAAGAAGCCAAGGCUAACUCCGUGCCAGCAGCCGCGGUAAUAC
rnacentral:rRNA from 1 species